UUUCGGCAAGCUUCUCCAGAGGGCUUGAGUCCUUCAAUCCUCAUUUAUUGUCCGCUCCAGCGUGGCGUCCAUCCUCUGCGGCGCGGGCCGGACGAGAGAUGCUCCCCUAGCUCGCACCGCUCUUCUCGGACUCCGGGUGCUGAAUCCCGAGCAGCCAGCAGCGCGGCGCUCAGCCCAGCCCCGCUUCCGGGAAGCCCUCCUCAUAUGCAUACGAAAUGCAAGUGGCGGAUCUUAGCAAAUUACGUUCUGGAAAGGACUGACGGGUCCUUUUCACUGGGGCUGAGUUUCCCUCGCCUCACCCCGCCCCCCUUCCAUCCCAUCAACUCGGAUCUGAUCUCCCGGCUCUUCUGCAGCUCUCUCCUCCUCGCCUUUUAGAAUGAGGAAAUGGAAGGCAAGAAGAAUAUUUUUUUUCCAAAGUCAUUCAGCUGGACUCAAGCCAGAAACCUUCACUCUGCAGCUCCCUUGUCCAGAUGCUGAAGCCGGUCUAUUUGGCUUCAAAUCGCCUCUGGUCAGUGACCAGCUGAGAGACCAGGCUAAAAUUACUUAACCUCUCUUAGCCCCGGGUUCUUCCUCUGUGAGAUGGAAAAAUGACAGUGGUUCCCAUUUCUCGCGGUUGUGAAGAACAGUAAAUGCGAUGACUCUUGUUGAGGGUUUGGGUAUACGACCACGUGUUCAAUACGCAUUACCAGUUACUGUUGUCAUUUCUCUUUUGAAAAAUAUCCAACAUUUCUUACCGUGUGAAUGAACUGAUAUUUUGACUUCUGUUCUUAGUAAUGGAAAAGAGAAACAUUUCCACUGGGUUGAUUUAUUCCCACUGAACACGAGGGGAGGUUAAAUCCCAUUCUUUUUCUUCCCCAUCGCUAGCCCCCUUUGGCCCAGACAAAAAGUAGAAAUACGGCUAUGGGAAGGGAGGAACUGAAUUGUCCGUUUGGAUGCCUUCACUUCCCUUCAUUCUAGUUAGAGCGACACCCUUUUCUGAAAAAUACAUCCUUGGUCAGACUUGUGGAGAGCAGGAGGGAAAGAGCCAAAGGGAGGAGGGGAGGCACGGGGCUCUCAUCACAGAUUCUGUGGGUUCUUCCUUCUUUUUGCCUUGAGCCUUGACCGCACAAGAGGGAGCCCCGCUGGAAUGCCCAUCCAAAGCAAACCCAACAAAUCUUUAAUCAUGAUUUAGUCAAAGCAGAUUGCAAAUGGGGUGGGGAGUGGUGUGAGGUGAUUGACAGUUCAAAACACCAGUACCCCAGAAACCCUUCUAUAGUCUGUCCCGCCUUAUUUACAGUGCUUUGGAUGAACAACCUGUCUUGAAAAUGGGAUGCCUGCUAAGCACUUAGCCCAGAGGUUGGCUUCACAAACUGAACACUGUCGUCAUGUGGACAUUUUGUAUCACACUCCCUGCCUCUCUCGGUCCCAGGAUAAUCUUGAACAUCACCAACAAGGAGAUAGCACCCGGACAGCGGCUAACUGUGCAUAAUCCCCUCAGCUCAACAUGGAAGCAAAAGGGGGAAGUCUUGCCCGCACGUGUUGAUGGCGUACUUCCACGGCACCUUGGACGCCGCGAGGUCUUUGAUGCAGUUCAGGUCAGCCUGGAGCCUGGAGAUCCCCCCAUAGACAACUGGCUCCAUCUUGGAAGCCAGGAAAGCAUUUGGGAAGCAGCUCAGUAAUUGCUCCACUGAAUCUUUAAAUUCAACGGUCGCCUUUUCAUCCACAUGAACACAGUAGACAUUCUGAGGCAUGUAAAUAGCUCUAAAGAGCCUUGCAAAGGUAUCGAAAUUGUGAUGGAUGGCCAUCAUAUAUGCCAAAGGAAAUUCAGCUUCUUCUUUAGAUAAAGGGGCCGUGAUGUAGUGGCUUUGGGUCAGGUAAUCCUUGCAAGAAGACUUCUCGUACAUUAUCAGUUUGUUUCUCCACAGGAAAGGCGUUUUGCCUCUGACAAAGGAUGCGCAAACUUGAGUCAGCAUCAAAGUGUCUGAGUUAUUCAGCCUCUGGAAGCUUUGCUCUCCCCCAAAACUGAGCACGUAGAACACAAUAAAAAUGAUUACGCAAGAAACAGAAACUAUAAAGAGGUAACGCAUCGAAGGCAUGCCUCACAGAGGAGCAAGAUUUCAAAGACGGGCAAAAUCUGGAAGUCCUUCCCCAAACUUACUUUUUCCUUUGAGUUCUUAGUUUGGUACAUACUCCAGUAAUUCCUAACCUGAAGGAGACGCUGGGAAUUGAUUCCGUUUCAUGCCGGGAGUCCAGCUGCUGGCUCCGUCCGUCCCCCGUGCUGAUGUUAGCCACUGGUCCCGCCUCGUUCUCUGCUUCUCAGAGGCCCUUUGUCCAAAGCCCAGCGGCAGGUUCCCGAAGCCCGGCCUUUUCCCUCCCUCUGCCUCCCUGCCCGCAUCUGCUCGCUGUGGCCCCCGAUCUCUCCGGCAACUCCUUUCUGCUGCAGGAUGAGCUUCUCAGAUGUCUUUGAGUUCCCCCGCGUGUUUCCCCCUCCCCCCAUUCAGGGGAUUAGCGCCGUGAAAGCCAAAGUUGAAAUAAUGUGUUCUGGCAGGCGUGCUGUUUCCUGCUAGUCACCCGCAGGCGGCGGCGCGCCCCCCCUCUGGGCUGCUCAUGGCAACACCUGGCCCCUCGGCCCUUCCAGUCCGAUCCACGGGAUGUAAUGUGGCCUCCGUGCGCAAAUGCUUUCAUGAAAAUCAUGCUCUAAUGACAAAAGUGACUGAAGAGACAAGAUCUAAAAGAAAAAAACAACAGCAUACAUCCCGGCUCCUUUGUCAUGGUGUCGAGCCCUGCCCUACCCUUUACAAAAACAAGGGAUUACGGGACUCCCAGUCCUAGGGGACCUGAAAACGCAGGCUCCCUGGGGCCGUGACUUUGAGAUCAGGUGCCAGCCCCUCUCCCCCCUUACGGCAUCCAACAUCCACGGUGGUGCUUGUCACAUGAGCAAGUCCCAAGCUACAACCCCUGAUUUACUUAAGGCUUUAAAGUUUCCCUGGAAAGAACUUGAAUCCUGGCCACAAGUGAUGUUCAGAUUAGGGGACCUGGGGGGCACUCAGCUCUUAAACACCCAGAGAACAUCAUCUAAUACUCAGAGAAGUACUUUAUACCUGCCCAGUCAGGCUUAUUGACCACCUAGGAAAAGCACACUGUUUCCCCCCACCUGUAAAGGGUAGUGUUUUGGCUAAAGAGUAUCAAGCUCUUUGGGGCGCCUGGAUGGAAAACCAAUGUGAGCCCCCACCAUUCAAGGCACCGUGCUCCAAGUGAUAGACUUCCUGAGCACACUGUAUUGUUGGUUUGUUUUUAAGUAAACUCUAUACCCAACACGGGGCUCGAACUCACAACCCCCCGAGAU